GUAACGGUGUCUUUAGACACCACCUCUGUCUUCGAAAUUUUUUUAU
rfam:Picea glauca, whole genome shotgun sequence.